AUGUAGCAGCAAAAGUCAUGUCCCAAAUAUCACUAAUUGUUUAUGUUCUCCAAGCACAACUAAAACUACAAUCAAAACAAAGCCAUUUUAAAUAUUAAUACAUUACGAUAAAAAAAUACUUGAACUUCAUUUUAGAAGAGCACCUGGCUCUUACAGUUUCUGCUGAAAAAACUCCGGCCCUUGAACAAAUUUAGUUUAGGACCCCUGUAGAAUAGAAUAGAAUAGUUAUAUUUGACUUAUUUUCAGAUUAGUGCAGGGUUCUUUACAUUGAUGUUUGCCUGUAGUUUUAUUGUUCUGCCACUACGUGGCAAUCACAGUGCAUUAAUGUAUGGUUCUGAGUGUUAUGCAACUCAGAGAGGUAUCGGCAGGCCACGGACAUCAUCCUUUCCAGCCAUUAGUGUGCGUCCAUUGAAAGAAACCACACACACACAAACAUCCACCCAUGUAUUCUGCACCUGCUUCCAAAGCAGUCGGAUACCUGUAUGGAAAAUGUUAGUGCCUAAUUAAAGAAGAAUUCAAAGACAACUUUGGAGCUGGACGCUCACUAAUUAUUUCCCACUCUCCUGAACAUAUUACCGCUGUCCUGACCCAACGCCGUGCAGUGAUUGCUAAUCUUAAGCAACCUGUUAUAAUCCUCAAAUACAAUUUCUGGUCCUUCCAGCUGGAUUUCCAGCAGCCACUGCAGUCAAUAUGUCCAGGUCAUAUGAGAGGGAUGCCAGAGAUGCAGUCCGGCCUCGGAGAGCGAGACAGCAGCCAUCAUAUCUCCAUGAAUAUGAGGUCAGUUAUAUUCCAAGACGCCUCAUCCCUGAAACUGAGCAGGCAUCUUCAUCUGACAUACUCAGAUAUCUUAGGAACAUGAGGGAGGAAAGUCACCAAUUGCAAAGAGGUCCAACGUCUGUCAGAGAUGGUCCAUCAAUCUUCUACACCAGCACUUAGAGAUGAGCAGAUGCCAUCUAGUGGUCACAAGGACCCACGUCAGGCAGCAAGUGCCCCCCAUGGUGUUCAGUGAUGCUCCUCCAUCUCUACAAAGGGGCAGAGCUGAUUUUAUUCAUGAACUUGAUCGCUGUUUGCAGGAAGUAGGAUUAACCAAACAAGAUGACAUAUCUCCAGAUCCUCUCGUAGCUCAUCUCCCUGCUCUCAAUUCAAACCUCCUGAGUUAGAGAUUGAAGAUUGCCCCGCACAGGCAUCGUCACAUCGCAGUGAGCAUAAGUCAUAUAGUGAACCUUGUGAUAAGUCAAGUGAUAGUAAACGGCCAUGUGCUAAAGCCGCAUCCAGUCCUGAUGUCAAGUAUCGUUCCAAACAUAGGGACAACUACGAUCGCUAUAAUGAGCCCGGUCACUAUGAUGACAGAAUGACAGAUAUCGCUACUAAAAUGAUUUCCCCCUGCUCAAAUCAAGCCACCCAGACCAUGGUGAUGGGUAUGGUGCUUCAAUGCCCUACAGGAGUAGUAGUCCUAGAGCUCGUUAUGAUGGCCAAUACUAUGAACAGGAGGAGGGACUUUCUGCUGAUUACAGAGAUCACCCUGAUGGUUUUCAUCGACCACAUUAUGAAUAUGUGAGAGAGGAAUAUAGGGGGAUCAGAUACCCACCUGAACAUCACUAUUCCCCACGCUAUGAUUCCUUCUAUGGCAAACCCCCAGCUUUAGAUACCUACCGUGGUCCCAAACCAACUAUUCCUUUUUUGAAGUCAGAGGACCCACGUGAGUUUGCUAGACUGAAGCUAGCUCUAGACAACUUAUUGCCAUAUGAUGCUCCAGAGCACUUUAAAUUUCAAAUACUCACAGAUCACCUCAAGUGUGAUGAGGCGUUUCUCAUAGCAGACUCCUACAGUAAUAGUCCACUUCCAUUUAUGGACACGAUAAGGGCACUCACAGAGAUGUAUGGUCAACCGCAGCAGCUGGUGCUGAAAAGGAUUUCCAAUCUGACGGAUGGAUCUAAUAUCAGAACCGGGGACAUUAAAGCAUUCAAGUCAUUUGCCCUUCAGGUUCGUGCCCUUGUGGGAAUGCUGCAACAGCUUGGAAGCCAAGGUUGGACAGAACUGAGAUGUGGAUCACAUGUCUCUUGUCUCUUAGCUAAGUUACCACACGACCUAAGAGCGAACUUUAAUAGUGAAUCCCAUUAACAUCCCAGCACCAACACUAUUCGGCUUGGCUGAUUGGCUUGAGUACGAAGUACAAAUCCAAGUCAGUGGUGAUCAUCAGAGCAGUGCCUUCACGAGAGAGAGAGACAAGCUCCGCCCAAGAGCCGACAUCCAGAAUUCAAGUCACAAAGGUCUACAGCUAUUCUACUUGGCAGUGAGUCAACUCGGUCACAAGUGAAAUCAGAUAAAGCUCCUACUGUGAGAGAGACCACGCAGGACAAGCCAAAGAAAUACUGUCCCUUCUGCGAUACUGAGCAGCAUUAUUUCAAUCAGUGCACCAACUUCAAGCUCCUGUCAGUUGAACCGAAGACAGAAUGGAUUAAAGCUAACCAUCGAUGCUGGCGCUGUGGUCGUGAACAUCAGGCAUCCAGGUGCAACCUCAAGGCCAAGUGCAAACAAUGUGAGAGAAGGCAUUUAGACAUCCUUCAUGAUGUUAACACCAGACAAAACACCAUAGCAACCGGUGAUUCUCCAGUACCUCAACCAAGCACAUGCCUUGUAAGUUCUGUUUUGAGACAUUGUAUCUUGACCGGCCAGCACGAAGUAACCAAGUGCCACUGAAGUUGUGUCGCGUCAUCCUCCAGAGUUGUCCAAAGGUACUGGAGGCUUACGCAAUAUUGGAUGAUGGAUCAGAAUGUACCAUACUGCUAUAUGAUGCUGCCACCAGCUUGGGACUUCAAUGAAGCCCUGAAGAUCUCACCCUCCACACAGUCCGACAAGAACUCUGCACCAUUCAUAGUAGCACUGUCUCCUUCUCUGUAACCUGUGUCACAACCUGGUAAACCAUACCAGAUUGAUAACGCUUUCACAGCUAAAGAGCUAAACUUAACCUGCCAUACCUACCCAGUUGAAGAUCUGCAAGAAAGGUAUCGCCAUCUUAGAGGUAUUCCACUGCCAGCCAUUAAAGUUACCCAGCCACUACUCCUGAUUGGGUCAGAUUACCCACAUUUGGUCACACCAGUGGAACCAGUUCGUCUUGGUCCUCCAGGUGGACCCGCAGCAGUACACACCAGGUUGGGAUGGACUCUGCAGGGUCCCACAAACCUUUUACACCAUCAGCUAUCUCCAAAACAAUGCAUCUUUACCAAGUGUGAUCCUUACAGAUCAGAGCUUCUGAGUCACGUGGAGAGGCUUUGGCAGCUGGAAACGCUGCCAUACCGGAGCGAGCGAUUGAUAAGCAGGUCGAGGCAAGAUAUGGAGGCAGUCCACAUAUUGGAGGAGAAGACCACCAGAACAGUGGUUGAUAGUGUGAACCGCUACGCAACGCCACUGCUAUGGAAAGGGAACCUCCCUCUUAUCCACGCCAGUAAAGAAGCAGUCCUACCCCAGCUACGUGGGACAGAAAAACGGUUAGUUAAAGCCACAGAGAAAGCUGCCAUUUAUUCCAAAGAGAUUCACAAGCUCAUCAAUGCUGGUUAUAUUAAAGCUAUAUCCCAAGCUGAUGCAGAGAAGAGGAAAGGUUCCUAGUUCAUUCCACACCACAUUGUCCAACACAAUGAGAAAUAUUGGAUAGUCUUUAACUGCUCCUUCAUCUUCAACGGGCAGAGCCUAAAUGACCAACUUCUUCCUGGGCCCACACUUGGAGCCAGUUUGCUGGGAAUCCUCCUCAGGUUUCGAGAACACCCAGUAGCAUUCAGCAGCAAUGUGAAGGGAAUGUUUCACCAGGUCCGCUUGCUUGAGGAGGAUAAACCCUUUCUUUGUUUUCUGUGGCGAGAUGUUAAGGUGGACCAAGAACCUACCAUCUAUGAGUGGCAAGUACUUCCCUUUGGAACAACGUGUAGUCCGUGUUGCACCACCUUUUCGCUACAAACCCAUGUCCAGACACAUAUUGCACCAGAAGAAGAUGCAUGCCUUUCUGUAGAACGCUGUUUCUAUGUCGAUAACUGUCUUCAGAGUUUUCAGUCAGCCACUCAGGCCAAGCAGCUAGUGAACCGACUGCACAAGUUACUUCUGGACGGUGGAUUUGAGCUCAGAGAACGGGCCAGCAAUGUUCCAGAUGUCAUCAAACACCUGCCUAAGGAAUCAAGGUCAGAGAGCAAUACACUGGUUCACACAGCAAAUGGAAAAUCCACAAGAGCGUACACUUGGACUGUUGUGGCAGUGUAAUUCAGAUACACUCUGCUAUAAACAGCACAACAGUGAACUUUCAGACCCAACAAUGCGUAAUAUUUAUCGACUUCUUGCUCAACAAUACGAUCCUCUGGGAUAUAUUAUUCCAUAUACAACCAGAGCUAAGAUCAUUGUGCAGCAUCUUUGGGACAAGAAGAGAGGUUGGGACGACCCCAAUCUCCCUGAAGAUCUGCUGCAAGCUUGGAAGUCAUGGGCAGAGGAGUUGGUACAUUUGGCCCAGAUCACCUUACCCAGAUGCUAUACUGAACCCAGAACAGACCUGAGCACCACCAUUCAGAGUAUCCACACAUUUUGUGAUGCAUCUGAGCGUGCUUAUGGAUCCAAGGCGUAUCUGCGCAGUGACAGUGGUGAUGGAAAAUUUCAAGUGGCAUUCUUGGCUGCCAGAUCCAGAUUUGCUCCAUAGAAGCAACUAUCAAUACCCCGACUCGAGUUGUGUGGUGCAUUAACCGGGGCACAGUUGGCUUCGGUGCUGCUGAAGGAGAUUACCAUCAAGACACAAGAGGUGGUAUACUAGACUGAUUCUACCACAGUGCUCAACUGGCUCCAAUAUCCUGAAGAUAUAAAGUGUUUGUAGGCACCAGGGUAACAGAGAUACAGGAGUUAUCGGAUGUCAGAGCCUGGCGCUAUGUUGACUCAGCGACUAACCCCGCAGAUAAUAUUACCAGAGGAAAAACACUGGCCCAACUCACUGGGAAGAGUCGUUGGACACAUGGCCCCUCCUUUUGCCUGCAGUCACCUGAGCAGCCUAAAGCUUGGUUUAUGCUUGACGCAUUCACUUUCCGCGCGGUGAUGCGGCUCACGGAUGGAAUGCGCUUCACAACUCGCAGCGUUUAUGUUUUGUGCGGCUCGUCUCUGCGGUGAGCCAAUAUUCUCCCAAACUGAACGGGGCAGCAUGGAGCUCUACAGCAUGCAUCCAACACUACACCAUAGUAGAAGUAGAAAUCACUGUUUACAACAUGGCAUUUCAGCAUUUUUAACAGCGUUCUCGUCUUUUCCGACAGUGCGAGCUAUUUCUCUCCAAGAAUUAUUAACAACAUGUUGAUCACGGUGAUCUCUGAGAGCUGAAUCAUACAAAUGUCUGUAUUUACGAACCUCUGCCGUGCCGGUCCGCCAUGUUUUUCCGCGUCCGACCGUCCGCGUGGUUAGAAAUUUUCCGAGGUGCGCGUUGCGGAAAUCUUGGGCCGUGCGGAGACGCGGUGGAGGGGCGUGGUUGUUAAAAUGACGCAAAAUGAUGCAACUUUUCCGCGCGGAGCCGUGCGGACCUCGCGGACGCGUCAAGCAUAAACUAACCUUAAGAUACCAGUCAGUCACAUUACUGAGGUGACUGAAGAGCUGAAGAGCACAGCGUUUUGUGGACUGACAGCUAUUUCAUCAGAUCCAUCCAUACCUGACAUUAAGCAUACCUGACAUUAAGCAGUUUCAUACCUUCCAAGAGCUACUGGAAGCUAUAGUCAGAGUUCUCCUCGGGGCGGCCAAUGACAAGUCUCCAACAGCGGAUGACUAUCACAAAGCUGAGGUCGCCCUCCUCAGACAUGCACAAAUGGAAGAUUUCCCAGAAGAGAUGAUGUUACUCAAAGCUGGCAAAGCUCUUCCAUCUACUAGCCGAGUGCUCACUCUUGCCCCUGAAUGUAAUCACAUCUCUGGACUAAUCUGUGUUGGAGGAAGACUGCGCCAAUGUGAAAACAUAAGUUCAGAUGUGUUACAUCCCAUCCUCCUUUCAGCCUCUCACACAAUCUCCAAGCUCCUGAUCUAGUAUUAUGACCAACAGUUGAACCAUCCUGGAGUGGAACGUGUUUUGCAGAGCUGCGUAGGAAAUACUGGCUGUUGAGAGGAAGAGAAGCUGUCAAGAAGCACCAGCACAAUUGUGUGGAUUGCAGGAAGUGGAGAGGCAACCCGCAAGUCUCCAGAAUGGCAGAUUUGCCCUCUUCCAGUUUGCGGUUGUUCUGUCCUGCCUUCUAUUCAACAGGAGUCGACUGCUUCGGUCCUGUUUGUAAAGGUGGGACAACAUACUGAAAUGAGGUGGGGGAUCCUAUACAAGUGCCUUACUACACGUGCUAUCCAUCUAGACCUCCUACCAAACACGGACAUGGAUUCCUUCUUAAUCUCCCUCCGACAUUUCAUAACUCGAAGAGGAAAGCCUUACGAGAUCCUUUCAGACCAAGUCACUAAUUUCAGAGGAGGGAGUAAGGAGCUUCAUGAAGCUUUCCGUGCCAUGGAACCAGUUGUUAAGGACCAAUUUGCUGCUCAACAGAUUCGCUUCCAUUUUAACCCCCCCAAUGCUCCACAUUUCGGGGGGUCUUGGGAGUGAGAAGUAAGAUCUGUGAAGACUGCGCUUCGUACCACUCUGGGAGUCCAGUCAACGCCAGAGGAAGUAUUACUGACAGUCCUCAUUGUAGUCGAGGUAAUUCUCAAUUCCAGACCCCUAGGUUAUGUUUCUUCUGACCUGGUGGAUCCGGACCCAGUGACACCUAAUUACUUGUUGAUAGGGCGGAUUGAUUCAUCCCUUCCACAGGUAGUCUAUCCUGAGUCUGAGCUGUUAAGUCGGAAAAGGUGGAGACAUUCUCAAGUCUUGGCGGAUCACUUCUGGAAGCAUUACAUCCGCCACUUUCUUCUUACACUAAAAUCCAGGCAAAAAUGGCAGACUGAGAAGGAUGUCAUAGUUGUAGGUACUGUGGUGCUCAUCGUUGAUCUGUAAACACCAAGAGCCCUCUGGCAAGUGGGGACUGUGAAGUCUGUCAUACCGGGAGCGGAUGGACGCGUGAGGACUGCUAUGACUCAAGUCAAAGACAGAACCUACACUCGCCCAGUUGUUCAUCUCAUCAAGCUGCCUGCCCUACCCCAGGACAGUCAACCCACCUAGUAGUCAAAUUUGCUUAUCAAAUUUGGGGGCUGCUGUAGAAAAGACUGUUAUAUUUGACUUAUUUUCAGAUUAGUGCAGGGUUCUUUAUGUUGAUGUUUACCUGUAGUUUUAUUGUUCUGCCACUAGGUAGCAAUCACAAUGCAUUAAUGUGUGGUUCUGAGUGUUAUGCAACUCAGAGAGGAAUUGGCAGGCCACGGACAUCAUCCUUUCCAGCGUAUAGUGUGCACCCAUUGAAAGAAACCACACACACACACAUCCACCCAUGUAUUCUGCACCUGCUUCCAAACCAGUCGGAUACCUGUAUGGAAAAUGUUAGUGCCUAAUUAAAGAAGAACUCAAAGACAACUUUGCAGCUGGACGUUCACUAAUUAUUUCUCACUCUCCUGAACAUAUAACCACUGUCCUGACCUGACGUCCUGUAGUGAUUGCUAAUCUUAAGUAACCUGUUCCAUCCAUCCAUCCAUCCAUCCAUCCAUCCAUCCAUCCAUCCAUCCAUCCAUCCACCCACCCACCCACCCACCUAUCCAUCCAUUUUCAUCCACUUAUCCAGAGUCGGGUUGCGGGGGUAGUAGCCUAAGGCGAGAGGCCCAGACUUCCCUCUCCCCAGCCACUUGGGCCAGCUCCUCCGGGGGAAUCCCAAGGUGCUCCCUGGCUAGGUGAGAGACAUAGUCCCUCCACUAUGUCCUGGGUCUACCUUUAGGUCUCCUCCCAGUUGGACGUGCCCGGAAAACCUCACCAGGGAGGUGUCCAGGAGGCAUCCUGACCAGAUGCCCGAGCCACCCCAACUGGCUCCUCUCGAUACGGAGGAGCAGUGGGUCUACUCCGAGCCCCUCCCGAAUGACCAAGCUUCUCACCCUAUCUCUAAGGGAGAGCCCAGCCACUCUUCGGAGAAAACUCAUUUUGGCCGCUUGUAUCUGUGAUCACGUUCUUUCGGUCACUACCCAAAGCUCAUGACCAUAGGUGAGGGUAGGAACGUAGAUCGACCGGUAAAUCGAGAGCUUCGCCUUCUGACUCAGCUCUACCACGACAGACCGGUACAACGCCCGCAUCACUGCAGAUGCAGCACCAAUCCGCCUAUCAAUCUCACGCUCCGGUUUUCCCUCACUCGUGAACAAGACCCCAAGAUAUUUAAAGUCCUCCACUUGGGGCAGGACCUCAUCCCUGACCCGGAGAAGGCAUUCUACCCUUUUCCAAAUCAAGACCAUGGUCUCAGAUUUAGAGGAGCUGAUUCUCAUCCCAGCUGCUUCUCACACGGCUGCGAACCGCUCCAGCGAAAGCUGAAGAUCACGUUCUGAUGAAGUCAACAGGACCACAUCAUCUGCAAAAAGCAGAGACCUGAUCCUCAGGCCACCAAAAUGGAUGCCCUCCACAUAUUUGCUGCGCCUAGAAAUUGCCUGUUCAUAACCUGAAAUCUGUCGAAACCUCUCAACUUCACACACCAACUCAGGCUCCUUCCCCACCAGAGAGGUGACAUUCCAAAAAACCGCUGUCCUGACCCGACGCCCUGUAAUGAUUGCUAAUCUUAAGCAACCUAUUAUAAUCCUCAAAUACAACCCCUGCUGUAGAUAGCUUGUCAACAACCAGCGCAACCAAACUUUCAACUUGUGCAAAGAAAAUGUGAAGUAGUAGCUUGACGUAAUCAUUGAUGAAUGAGGCUGAGUUAUUAUGACUAGCAGAAGGUUGUCCCUUCGUAUGAACAGUGUCUCUGACCUAAACUUGGUUUCUCCUCAUUUAUUCUUGUGAAUACUGUGUAAUUCUGCUUUGUGCUCAUUCAGACUCAUUAUCGUACCAACAAUGGGCUGCUGAGACAAUAAUUAGACAUGGUAGUCACCCUGUGUUAAUCUGGUCCCUACAGAAAGCUUACAGCAUUACAGUAUGGCCAAUGAAAUACUGGGGGGAGUAACUCGUCCUGCACAUCCCCUCCCCCGUGUCCUCAAACAAUAGAGAUGAACAACAUUUCCUCCUACAGCGAGACUCCUCUCUGACUUAAAAAGGACUUUGCUGAAGUGUCAUGGGGCCCCGCUUUCUAACAAGCCUCGCUUGGUCUUUUAUUCUUCCUGUAGACACAGACAAUGGCAGGAAUUUGCUAAAUAUGGCACAUGGCUUUGAAGACAUCUGACCAGUGUAGUUGGGUGAAACACAAGUUAUACAUGACAGUAAUAUUUUAGUAAAACUAGAGAAAUAGAGACCCCAUCAUUAUUUUUUUGUAAUUAGAUCUGUAACUCCAGUGUAAUUUCAGUUGUUUCAGUGCUAUUCCACAUCCAUCCGCUAGGAAGAGCACCGGUCAUUUUGGUGACAGAGUAUGGUGAGGAGUACACAGAAGGAGAAUAAACCUUCAUGUUGAAUGCUAAUAGAAGCUCAACGUGUGUGUCUCAUCUUUUCUCUGUUACAGGUCAGAAAAUGUGUGAUUUGAUGUAAAUAUGUGAUAAAUUUCAAGAGUUGAACAGAUUACACAAUCGAGAGUCAACUGGUGUGUCAAAUGAUAUGGUAGAAAACGGGGCUGUUUACUGUAUGCUAACUCAUGCUAAUGCUAGUGGACUUUGGUUAGAGAUACAAAGUUAACUGUGGAACAACUGAUCUAUAUACAAUGUUUGAUCGUUUUCUGCUGAAGGACAUGUCAGUAUUGUUCACAACAUUGAUGUUUAUUUUAUGGUUUGAGGCAAGUAUAUAGGAAAAAAUAUUGCAAUGUGAUUAAUGAGGAAGUAAAAAAUAAACCUCUUUUAAGUAAAGUUGUGUAAGAAACAUUACACUGUUUUUUUUUUUUUGUUAUCUUCCAGUAAGGAAUAAAUAUAGUUGUGUCUUGUUAAAGCUAUGGGCAUAUUUAGAGGUUAAAAUGCUUAAAUAUCAAUGUAUAUUUCAUGUGUUCAGAAUAAAACUGUAAAUGCUGUUAAAGAGAGCUAAAAGUAAAUAUCUUUUUGUUAUAACUAAAAAUGCAAGAGUUCUUAGACUAGGAAUCAGAGUAAUAUGGCUUAAAUGGAAAAAGUUAUCUGUGAAAUCCUGAUUGUGAUAUGGUCUUGCAUGUUUAUUCAGUCAUGUGAGUACACAGAAGGAGAAUAAACCUUCAUGUUGAAUGCUAAUAGAAGCUCAAUGUGUGUGUCUCAUCUUUUCUCUGUUACAGCACCACACGUUGAGACGUUGACUAUCACUUACCCUCAGACUUCCAUAGGCUGACGAGUAACACCAACAUACACUGCUCACAAGAAUUAAAGGAACACUUUUUUUUAUUGGGCCUGGCAUGAAUUCAAUUAAACCUGUCUUAUAAUUUCCUGGUUGAUUAAGCAGCUGAGGGCAAUGUUAAUCACUUUUAGCUGUAUUGGUGUUCAUGGACUUAAGGACAGGUGCACUAAAGUGGCAACAAUUACAAAACCCUCAAAACAGGACUGGUUUAACAUGUAGAGGUCAUUUGAAGUUUCUCCCUCUUGAUCUUUUUCGGCUGGUUUUCCACUCGUGCUAGCUUUGGCUCUCUACUGGCAUUAUGAGGCGAUCCCUUAACCCUACAGAAGUUGCACAGGUUGUCCAACUUUUCCAGGAUCGCACAUCCACACAUGCUGCAGCAAGGUUUAAUGUGUCUCCCCAUCUACACAUGCUGCAGCAAGGUUUAAUGUGUCUCCCAGCACAAUCUCCAGAACAUGGAGGAGAUUUCAGGAGACUGGCGGUUAUUCUCGGAGAGCUGGACAGGGCCGUAGAAGGUGCUCAACCCAUCAGCAGGACCGAUACCUGCUUCUUUGUGCAAGGCGGAACAGGCUGAGCACUGCCCGUGCCCUACAGAAUGACCUCCAGAGGGCCACUGGUGUGAAUGUCUCUACCCAAACAAUCAGGAACAGACUUCAUGAAGAUGGCCUGAGGACCCGACGUCCUGUAGUGGGCCCUGUGCUCAAUGCUCAGCACCGUAGAGCUCGACUGGCAUUUGCUCAAGAACACCAGAAUUGGCAAGUCCGCCACUGGCCCCCUGUACUUUUUACAGAUGAGAGCAGGUUCACCCUGAGCACCUGUGAUAGACAUGAAAGAGUCUGGAGAAGACAAGGAAAACGUUAUGGUGCCUGCAACAUCGUUCAACAUGACAGGUUUGGUGGUGGGUCAGUGAUGGUCUGGGGAGGCAUAUCCAUGGAGGGACACACAGACCUCUACUGCCUAUGAAAUUGUGCUCUGACUGCCAUAAGGUAUCGAGAUGAAAUCCUUGAACCCUUUGUCAGACCCUACGCUGAUGCAGUAGGUCCUGGUUUUCUCCUAAUGCACGACAAUGCCCGGCCUCAUGUGGCAAGAGUAUGCAGGCAGUACCUGCAGAUGAAGGAAUUGAAACAACUGAAUGGCCUUCACGAUCCCCUGACUUAACCCAAUAGAACAUCUGUGGGACAUUAUAUUUUGGUCCAUUAGGCGGCGCCAGGUUGCUCCUCCGACUGUACAAGAGCUCAGGGAUGCCCUCACACAGAUCUGGGAGGAAAUGCCACAAGACACCAUCCGUUGUCCCAUUAGGAGCAUGCCCCGACGUUGUCAAGUAUGCACACAAGCUAGUGGGGGCCACACAAGAUACUGAAAAGCAAUUUGAGUUGCAGAAAUGAAGUUUUUGAAAUAAUGGACUAGCCUGCCACAUCUUCAUUUCACUCCGAUUUUAGGGUGUCUACACAAUUGAACCCUUUGUAGGCUGAUAACUUUUAUUUCCAUUAAAAGACUUGGCAUCCUUUUGUUCCUAAGACAUUGCCCUGUCGUUAUUUGUAUAGAUGUCCAACUUCAUAUUGAGAUCUGAUGUAUCUAAUGUGUUUCUUUAAAGUGUUCCUUUAAUUUUUGUGAGCAGUGUAGAUGGAGUCUUGGCUCAGUAGACUUGCUUGUCCUCAGUCCCAGCUGAGAAUUUCUCCUCCAGGGUUAUUACAGUCAAAAACUGGCUUAAGUUUGGUUUGUGCAUGUGUACAUUACCAAUGAUGAAGCAGUGAUAACAUCCAGCUCCCAUCUGCCCACAUCGCAGGGGUCGUCUAGCUGGCAUUGGGGCAACCUUGUCCAACAGAUACAUAAUCAUGAGGGCAAGGUCUGGAAAAAUGAAGAAAGUAACAGCUUCCUGCUCCUGUGGAAAUUUCAGGUAAUAUUUGUUUGUCUACUUCUCACUGCCUGAGCGGUUUCAGGUUAGUGGUUCUUGGAAAAUUGUGAACUUCUAAGCAUCAAAACUGCAUGAUGCAAUUCUUAGAAGCUGCUGAAACGCGACAGCGUGAGGAGAGGUGACCUUUGUGCAAAAUGAACACAACGCAUAAAAUUUUAAUCAUCUUUGGUGAAGCUCCUUGUUUUUACGGGUAAUUAAAAAAUCUUUGAUUUAAAGUUCAAGAUCAGAAUAAGAAAAUGUCCUAAAUUUCACUGAUGUGUCAUUUAGCAUGCUUUUCUGUCUUUAUAGGGAAACUUGGCAGUUUUGCUUUGCUUUUAGCAGCUCUUAGUGUCGUUUGUAGCACUAAAAACAAAACCUACCUCCUCAUCUUUUUAACACCUUAAUCCAACAGCUGAAAUGUCUCCCCAGCCUUCCUUAGUGUCUACAAAAAUGAUUCAUCAGAGAGGGUUGCCUCAUGAUCGGAGGGUCAUGGGUUCUAUUCCAGCUCCCGUCAGGGCGUAUUCUGCUGUUGUGUCCUAGGGCAAGACACUUCACCCAACUUGCCUGUGUUGGUGGUGGUCAGAGGGGCCGUCAGCACCAAAUGGCAGCCUCGCCUCUGUCAGACCGCCCCAGGGCGGCUGUGGCUGCAAAGUAAGUAACCCUCACUAGCAGUGUGUGAAUAUGAGUGCAUGAAAGCAUCUUUGAGUAUCCCAAAAAGUGUUGUAAA